UACGAAGGGGGCGAGCGUUGUUCGGAUUUACUGGGCGUAAAGGGCUCGUAGGCGGCCAACUAAGUCGGAUGUGAAAUCCCCAGGCUUAACCUGGGAACUGCAUCCGAUACUGGAUGGCUUGAAUCCGGGAGAGGGAUGCAGAAUUCCAGGUGUAGCGGUGAAAUGCGUAGAUAUCGUUUGGAACGCCGAUGGUGAAAACAGGUUGCUGGGAGUGCGCUGACGCUGAGACACGAAAGCCAGGGGAGCGAACGGG
rnacentral:rRNA from 1 species